rnacentral:rRNA from 1 species
UACGGGGGGAGCAAGCGUUGUUCGGAUUUACUGGGCGUAAAGGGAGCGUAGGCGGACAUUUAAGUCGGGGGUGAAAUCCCAGAGCUCAACUCUGGAACUGCCUUUGAUACUGGGUGUCUUGAGUGUGAUAGAGGUAUGUGGAACUCCGAGUGUAGAGGUGAAAUUCGUAGAUAUUCGGAAGAACACCAGUGGCGAAGGCGGGUCACUGGCUCGGUACUGACGCUGAGGUGCGAAAGCGUGGGGAGCAAACAGG